UACGUAGGGUGCAAGCGUUGUCCGGAAUUAUUGGGCGUAAAGAGCUCGUAGGCGGUUUGUCACGUCGGCCGUGAAAACUCGGGGCUCAACUCCGAGCCUGCGGUCGAUACGGGCAGACUAGAGUGCUGUAGGGGAGACUGGAAUUCCUGGUGUAGCGGUGAAAUGCGCAGAUAUCAGGAGGAACACCGGUGGCGAAGGCGGGUCUCUGGGCAGUAACUGACGCUGAGGAGCGAAAGCGUGGGGAGCGAACAGG
rnacentral:rRNA from 1 species